GCCAUUUGAGGGCUGCGGAUGUGUUUUGUACAGUUAUACCGGACACUGUGAUGGUUUGGGUAGGUCUAUGUGUGUUCGCGGAUGGAUGUUCGUUAUAAUGUCCAAACCAAGAUGGAGUACGAGUGGAAACCCGAUGAGCAAGGACUCCAGCAAAUUCUGCAGCUACUGAAGGAAUCGCAGUCUCCAGACACGGCCAUACAGAGAUCCGUUCAGCAAAAACUGGAGCAACUUAAUCAAUAUCCUGACUUCAAUAACUAUCUGAUUUUCGUUCUGACAAAGUUAAAAUCAGAAGAUGAACCUACGCGAUCCUUAAGUGGUCUGAUUUUGAAGAACAAUGUGAAAGCACAUUUACACAAUUUCCCUAAUGGGGUAACAGAUUUCAUUAAAAAUGAGUGCCUGAAAAAUAUUGGUGAUUCCUCACCUUUAAUAAGAGCUACUGUUGGAAUUCUGAUUACAACUAUAGCAUCAAAGGGUGAACUACAAAACUGGCCAGACCUCUUGCCUAAGUUGUGUGCACUGUUGGAUUCAGAAGAUUACAACACAUGUGAAGGUGCCUUUGGUGCUCUUCAGAAGAUAUGUGAAGACUCUGCUGAGAUUUUAGACAGUGACAUUUUGGACAGACCUCUGAAUGUCAUGAUUCCAAAAUUUCUGCAAUUUUUUAAACACAGCAGUUCCAAGAUUAGGUCUCAUGCUGUUGCUUGUGUGAACCAGUUCAUCAUUAGUAGAACUCAAGCACUGAUGUUGCAUAUUGACUCUUUCAUCGAGAACUUGUUUGCAUUGGCUGGAGAUGAAGAAUCUGAAGUACGGAAAAAUGUAUGCCGUGCACUUGUUAUGCUGCUCGAAGUUAGAAUGGAUCGCUUGCUCCCUCAGAUGCACAACAUUGUUGAGUACAUGUUGCAGAGGACACAGGAUCAAGAUGAAAAUGUAGCACUGGAAGCUUGUGAGUUCUGGCUUACAUUGGCUGAACAACCCAUUUGCAAGGAUGUACUUUCUGGACAUAUGUCUCUAUUAAUACCUGUCCUUGUGAAUGGGAUGAAAUAUUCAGAAAUUGAUAUUAUUCUGCUUAAGGGUGAUGUUGAAGAAGAUGAAGCUGUUCCUGAUAAUGAACAAGACAUCAAACCUCGCUUUCACCGAUCCCGAACGGUCGCUCAACAGCAUGAAGAAGAUGGAAUCGGUGAAGAAGAGGAGGACGAGGACGAUCUCGAUGAUGAUGACACAAUUUCUGAUUGGAAUUUAAGAAAAUGUUCUGCUGCUGCAUUAGAUGUGCUAGCUAAUGUUUUCCGGGAUGAAUUGUUGCCACACGUGCUGCCACUCCUGAAAGAGCUGCUGUUUCACCCAGAUUGGGUAGUGAAGGAAUCUGGAAUUCUGGUACUUGGAGCUAUUGCUGAAGGCUGUAUGCAGGGUAUGAUUCCUUUCCUGCCUGAGCUUAUCCCUCACCUUAUUCAGUGCCUGUCUGAUAAAAAAGCUCUUGUGCGUUCUAUAACCUGUUGGACACUCAGCCGCUAUGCACAUUGGGUAGUAAGUCAGCCCCCAGAUACUUACUUGAAGCCAUUAAUGACUGAGCUGUUGAAGCGUAUCUUGGACAGCAAUAAACGAGUACAAGAGGCUGCCUGCAGUGCUUUUGCUACCCUAGAGGAAGAAGCUUGCACGGAGUUGGUGCCAUACCUUGGUUACAUACUUGAUACCCUUGUUUUUGCUUUUAACAAAUAUCAACAUAAGAAUCUUCUAAUUCUUUAUGAUGCUAUUGGAACCCUUGCUGACUCAGUAGGGCAUCAUUUAAAUAAGCAGGAAUAUAUACAAAUGUUGAUGCCUCCGCUCAUUCAGAAAUGGAACAUGUUGAAAGAUGAAGACAAAGAUCUUUUUCCCUUACUUGAGUGCCUGUCUUCUGUUGCCACUGCCUUGCAGUCUGGCUUUCUUCCAUACUGUGAACCUGUAUACCAGCGUUGUGUAAAUCUAGUCCAAAAGACGCUUUCCCAAGCUAUGUUGCAUGGUUCCCAGCCUGAUCAGUGUGAGGCCCCAGAUAAAGAUUUUAUGAUUGUGGCACUUGAUUUACUGAGUGGUCUGGCCGAAGGCCUUGGAGGAAGCAUUGAGCAACUUGUAGCACGGAGCAAUAUUUUGUCGUUAAUGUACCAGUGCAUGCAGGACAAGAUGCCCGAAGUACGGCAGAGUUCGUUUGCCUUAUUGGGUGAUUUAACAAAAGCCUGUUUUCAGCAUGUGAAGCCUUGCAUUGCUGAUUUCAUGCCAGUUCUUGGAACUAAUCUGAACCCAGAAUUUAUUUCGGUGUGUAAUAAUGCUACAUGGGCAAUUGGAGAGAUCUCAAUUCAGAUGGGGAUUGAAAUGCAGCCCUAUGUGCCAAUGGUCUUGCACCAGCUGGUGGAUAUCAUUAAUAGACCUAACACACCAAAAACGUUACUGGAAAAUACAGGUGCACUUCCCUGCGAAACAUAAGGGAUAAUGAAGAAAAAGAUUCUGCUUUCCGUGGCAUUUGCAGUAUGAUUGGUGUCAAUCCAGGAGGAGUUGUACAGGUGAUAAGCUGAGACCAGUUAAUGUGAUAACUUCUUGGUAGUAAUGAUUAUGAUGAGACUUAAAAAUGGGAGCCAAGAUGCUGCCAUUAUAUUUGAUUUGCUGAACUAUGCCACUUUUUUUUCACGAAUGGAAGUGGAAUGCUUCCUAAAAUCUUUAGCAUAAUUGAUAGUAUUAUAGACUUUUCAAUAUAUUUUACCAGCAGUUUCUUGAAUGUUAGUUGAGAGUCAAAUAACAUGAACUUGAAGCAAUAUUUCUGUUUGGUUCCUGUGUGAAGGUCUGUUCUAUAUCAAUGAAGAGCUAUUUUGGUUUUGUACAGAAAGUACUUGAUUAACAACCUGGUAUGCGCAAGAACCUUCACUCUGCAUCAAAUGUGGGCUUCUUAUUGACUCAAUAAUCAACAAGUUUAUUCUUUUCAUUUUGAGAUUUUUCAAUGAAAAUGUUAAUGGAGCAGGCAGAGUAUAUUGUCUCAAAUUCAAAUAUUUUAGAUUUUUAGGUAGUAACUGCUUAGAAUUACGACUGUUAGUUUUUCACUGAAUUACUUUUGGCUGCUUUUAUUCAUGCAUGUGUUGCUAGCUAGGCAAGCAUUUAUUGCCCUUCUCUAAUUGCCCAGAGGACAGUUAAGAGUUAGCCAUAUUGCUGUGGGUUUGGAGUCACAUGUAGGCAAAACCAAAUAAGGAUGGUAGUAUCCUUCCCUAAAGGACAUUAGUGAACCAGCUGGAUUAUUUCUUAUGAUUGACAAUGUUUCAUGGUCAUCCUUUGACUUUCAGUUUCAGAAUUUAUUGAGUUCAAAAUUCCACCAUCUGUCAUGGUGAAAUUCAAACCUAGAACAUUACCUGGGUCUCUGAAUUAAUAGUCCAGUGUUAAUGCCUCUAGGCCAUCGGCCCUACUAAUGCAGGUAUUUGUUAAUCCAACCAAUCCAAGAUGGGUGAAUAGCCAAAAUGACACCUUAAGCAGGAAUGAGUGCAUGAUCUGUUCAAAUUAAGUGCUUUCCUGCAGUAGUGUUGGAGCAAUGGUUGGAACCUCUGACGAACCAGGCAAGAAGAUAAUAUUUUCAAGAUGGAACUUCACUGGUUGCACAAAGCAGAAAUGUGUGACACUUCAGGACUGCUCCUAACAGAGACAUAAGCUAAACCAUCAUUGUGAAGAAAGUUAAUAAACAGAAGUUUACAGAAAAAGAAAAAAAAUCCAUGACAAGGAAUGGUAAAAGAAGCACCUUCAAUAUAAAAGAAAACUCAACUAUAUCGCACACCAGAAUAUCUAGAUAUCUUGUAGUCUGAAGUUAUAGUGCAACUGGAUUCUAGCUGAAAGAUGAGCAUCAUAUUAUUCCUUUCGAUCCAUUGCUGAGUCUGGUAAGUGAUCUAAAUUAUGCUGCCUUCUGCUUUUAUGAUUACAGCAUAUCAUACAAUAGCAUUCUUUUAAAUGUACAUGACUAAUAUUUAGCAAGAUCUUUCAGUUGCUAAAAUGUUAUAGAUCAUUUGUCUUUACAGUAAAUAUGAAAACUACCUUAUUGCUUAAAUGGAUAUAGCUAAUGCAAUUUUGUUUCCCCAGGUAACACCAUCGGCAUUUUCACAAAAGGUGCAUUUGAAGUUGACAUAUUUUGACCACUUCUGACCUCCAGAACCAGAGUUGAGGCUGUAGCUGUGACCGCUGUGGAAGAUGAGAAUGAGAAGCGAGAUUUUGUAUUACAGAAUUGCAAUCUGCAAAACCUUGACCCAUUAACGUCAGAGGGAGAGAUACUGUUCACAGAUGGUGAUUCUGCUGUGUCUCCAAUCCUAACCUAAGAAAAGAUCAAAUAAACCAUUUAUUUAUUUCACAAGUAGUGUAAAAUAUUGACACUACAAUCUAGGUUCAUCACAAUGUAUGCCUGUUAUGCCUAAUGUCAUAUUGAAAUAUUGGACCUACCUGAUUUUUCAAAUAUCUGGAAUCGGGAUUUAGGACAGGCAUUUGACUUCUUUCAUGUGCUCAAUAAAGGCCAAAUGCUUGUCUUGUCGUUCCACAUUAGGGGAAACCCACGGAGUGGUACCACCCAGAUCCCCAUGUUACUUCUGGUGUCUGACUUCUGACUGCUUGCAAUCAAGGAGAGAUGAUUGUCCCAAAAUUCAGUGGUUUCAGUAGGCAAGAGGCAAGGUUCCAGUGAAGGCUUGACAGUUGUCCACUCCUUGAUUAUUUAAGUAAGCCCUGACACUUGAUGGUAUAAUGGCUUCAAACCAGAAAUAGGCCCAGGUGAAUUUCCAUUCAUUAAGGUUCCUUGCUAGUAAUGAGGAAUUUUGUUCACGAAAUAACAUUGUUCUAGGCAUCGUCAGAACAACAUGCACAUACAAUAUUAUGAAUGUAUAUUUUUGAAUAAUGUGUCAGAAAGCUUCUACUUCGAGUCAUAGGUUUCAAGGAUAAGAGAGAGCAUAUAUUACCAUAAGCAGUGAGGAAUUAUUUGUAAGCUGCCUCAAACUGCUCAUGUCCUCAUGGUAACAGUGCUUCCAUAUUACUGAUCAGUGUAGUCAAGAGGUAGUUCAAGGAUUUUUGGUACGUGAAUAGAGGAACAGUGAUGGGAGGUAGCGGUGUUCCCAUGCAGCUGCUGUUCUUGUCUCUCUGGGCUUAGGAAGUUGCUGGUGAGGAAAUCUUCUGGCGAAGAUUAUUUGGUAACCUGCUGCAGACAACUCUUUAGCUAGUGUGUCUGUUGAGGAGCUGCUGCGUGUUUCGAUUGGAUAAUGUAUUGGCCAAGUGGGCUGGUUUAUUCUAGAUGUGUUUAUUGAAUAAUGUUGCAGUUGCAGUGAUCUUGACCUGAGUAUCAUAAUUAUACUUGUGAACAUCAGUACUUUUUUUUUGGAUGAUACUGCAACGACAUAUCCAGGUUACUCAGAGAGGCAAAGGAGGAAAUACCUGGGGCAUUGGCAGAUAUCUUCACAUCCUUGUUGACCACAAGUGAAGUUCCAGAGGACUGGAGAUUUGCAAAUGUUGUUCCCUUGUUUAAGAAAGGAUGCAGGAUAAUCCAGGAAACUAUGGGCCCGUGAGCUUGAUGCCUAUGGUGGGGAAACCCCUUGGAGAAGAUCCUGAGGGACAAGAUAUGUGCGCAUUUGGAAGAAAAUUGACUUGUUAGUCACAGGCACCAUGGUUUUGUCUGGGGAAGGUCAUGUCUCAACAAACUGAAUUUUUGAAGAGGUAACGAGGGCAAAAAAUGAGGGAAGGUCUGUGGAUGUAGUUUAUGUGGACUUUAAUAAGGCAUUUCACAAAGUCCCACGUGGCAGGUUGGUACAAAAACUAAAAUCACAAGGGAUUUGGGCUAGAUGGCCUGGCUGGAUGGAUAGAAAACUGGUUUGGUCAUAGACAACAGAGGGUAGUGGUGGAAGGAUGUUUUUCAGAAUGGAGACCAGUAACUAGUGGUAUUCCAUAGGCGUCAGUCUUAGGCCCUUUGUUGUUUGUAGUAUAUAUAAAUGAUUUGAAGGAAAAUGUGGGUGGUCUGAUAAGCAAGUUUGCUGAUGACAUGAGGAUUCGUGAAAUUGCUGAUCGUGCCAAUGAUUGUGAAAGUAUACAGCAUAAUACAGUUAGAGUGGCGACUUGGGCACAGAAAUGGCAGAUGCUGUUCAAUCCAGGCAAAUGCGAGGUGAUGCAUUUUGGACAACCAUAUUUAGGUGUGAAUUCUAUUGUAAGUGGCAGAACCAUUCGGAACGCUAGCAUUCAGAUGGAUCUGGGCAUGCAGGUCCACAGUUCCUCAAAGUGGAAACACAGGUAGCCAAGAAGGUAUAUGGCAUGCUUGCCUUCACUACCGAGGGCGAGGAGUACAAGAGUUCAUAACACCCUUGUUAGGCUUCAUUUCGAAUAUGGUGUGCAGUUUUGGUCACUACAGUACCAGAAGGAUGUGGAUGCUGUGGACAGAGUACAGAGAAGAUUCAUCAGGAUGUUGCCUGGUCUCCAGGGCAUUGACUAUGAGGAAAGUUUUAAAAAGAGUAGGAUUGCUUUCACUGGAAAGACGGCAGCUGAGAGGAGACCUGAUAGAGGUCUGCAAAAUUGAGAGGCACAGAUAGGGUGGAUGGUCAUUGGCUUUUUUCCAGGUUGAAGUUUCAAUUACAAGGCAACACAGGUUUGAGGUCAGAGGGGGAUAGUUUAAAGGAGAUAUGUGAGUGAUGUUUUCAGAGUGGUAGCAGCCGAGAAUGCAUUACCAAAAGAGAUGGUGGAAGCAGGCACAUUGAAGACAUUUAAAGGGCACCUGGAUGGGCACAUGAAUAGGGAGGGAAUAAAGUGAUACGGUUUGAAAAAUUACUUUUUCUUUUUAAAUUAAUUAGGGCAGGAUGGUCAGCACAGGCUUGGAGGGCUUGUGCUGUACUUUUUCACUUGCUCAUUUGUUUGUUCAGUUGAGAGAGGGAUAAGGAUAAUUACUCAUUUUUUGAAUACAUAUGUUCCUUGAAUUGACAAUCAGGAGUUUCUGCCUUGGUCUUCAUGUAACUGAAUAGGCUGAUUCUGAACCCACAGACCUUUGGACACAUUGUGAAGUAUUGGGAUCUGGAACACUGGUUCUGCUUUUCUUUCUACUCUGCUUCAUCAUUAAGAUAUUGUGAUUCAAAGCAUAAUACAACUUGAUGGACAAGUUGUCACAAUUUUGAACAAUUGAAGCACAUUUCUCUUAGUCACUAAUGUCACUGCUACCACACUUCAAGAUGACCUUACAGAAUGCCUUUUAAGCAUUUUUUUCUUUUCUGCCCUGGAAUGUGAUCUGUUUGAAAGUUACAAGAGCAACACCUGUUGGGCAUGCACCUUUUUAGCCAGCUGUUUAUCAAGUCCUAUCCAUUGAAUUUGAUUUCCCAGAAAUUGGCCUGAAUGCUUGUGGAACUAGCAUGAAGAAGGAUGCAAAUGUUUAUUUGAUGGUCCUCCCAUUGAAUUCAGAGGGUAGGAUUAUUGUUGGUGAAACUUCUGUAGCACUCUUGGAUUGUGUAUCAGCAACACAAGUGUCACUGUGGUACAGAAAUGUGGUGAUGGCUGCUUUUCAUAUUAGGAGAUUUAUUAUCGAAUAUUUGUGGCUAUAGUUUGUACAAGGCUGGGUUAGCACAGCUCAUUGUGUUUGGGAUCUCAUCAUUCAUGAUGGCCUUUUUGAGAGGUGAAUGGAAAGUACUUAAAGGUUGUCACCUUUGACAUUUGCAGGAUGUGAAUCUUUGAAGAGGUGAGGGUUGUUAUGAGUUUAAUAAUGGCAGAACUUAAGUUCAGACUGAAUCUCUUCUAUGCAGAAUUGAAGAGAUUGAGAGUGGCUUGCAAAUUUAGUACAGUGAAGAAUAGUACUGCUGCCAUGCAAAACUAUUGAUCAGCUUUGUCAAUUUUGGCCAAGGUCAGAUUCUUGGGAAUACAGAAAUUGCAGAGCAAGAGUGCAAGCAAAACCAUUCUAGGUAUUCAUUUGGCUGCAGUGAGGUAUAGAUUGUAACCAGGUGAUGGCAGUCCCACCAAGGUGGCUAAGAGUGGAAAGGCAUUGGAGUAGAAUGGUGCAGUGAAUUGUACGAAAGGUGGCAGAUAGAUUGAGAAGAAUCUUGCCAAACUUCUAAUAUGUCUAGAUAGAUCUAGACUAAUCAUUUUAUCUGGUCUGGUCCAACAAUUGUGUGACUUCCUAUCUUAAAUGUUUUGAUCAUCCCCGGGUCAAGAACUCUGUGUUAGUCUCCUUGAUAAACAGAGAAGUUCUGCCAGUUGGAUCAUUGCCAGAUGUUCAUUAUAUAUUUCUGCAUAACCCUGUCAUCAUUGUGCAUCUAUAAAAUACAAUUCAUUUGUCUUCCUUGAUUUUGUACUUGUUGCCUUGUUUCGUUUUCUGAAUCAUUUUGUAUUAAUUUCUCCAUUAUUAGCUAUGGUAAUACCAUCUCAAUGUUGACACUUUUUUCUAAUGUAUCCAUGGUGUGGCAUUUCUGUUUAGUUCUUGCAUUUUAUGGGGAUACAUUUCAUAACUAUUGAUCAGUCUUUAAAUGUUUUCCCCAUUUAUGAUUUCAUUUUUGUCCGUCAGUUUUCUAGUGUAUAUUCUGCAUUCCUUUUCACUUGUCCUUAAAAUCUGUCUUUUUUCAAUUUAUUAUUUGGGUCUCAUGUCAAACAAAGGCCAUCAGUCUUUAUUGAAACAUUAUUGUGUUGAAACAGCUGCUGUCUGGCCGUUCCCUUGCAAGUCUCUUUUAUAUGGCUACUUUAGUAAAAUUGAAAAUUAUAUGAGAUUAGAAUAAAGCAGUACUGUUUUUAUUUCAAAAUAGAAACAGAAGUUGCUGGAAAAGCUCAGCAGGUCUGGCAGCAUCUGUCACUGGACCCGAAACAUAACUCUGAUUUUUCUUCACAGAUGCUGCCAAACUUACUGAGCUUUUCCAGUCACCACUGUUUUUGUUCGAUUUUACAGCAUCCACAGUUUUUUCAGCUUUUGUAUUUUUAUUUCACGUGUUUGAUGUUCAUUAUUGAUUUGUUUUCAUCUGGGGAAAAUACACAGGAGAGCAAAAACAGAAAAGAGGCUUCACAUGGUCUGGCUCAUGUACAUUGCCACUUUAGUUUCUUAACCUUAUUCCUAAAUUUAAGUGGUGACUUGUUCUGUGGAUCUCCAGAUCCAUUUAAGUUCCUGAUUUUAUGUUUCUAAUAUAAUGAUUAUCAAACUAUAUCCUAUUUCAAAUGUUCUUUUACUUGUUACUACAAGACCAUUGUUGUUUAACCCAGUUACAAACUCUAUAAUGGGUAACUUUAAGACAGAUCUGAUUUCCAGAUGGUGGAUUGACUUUUAUUAGCAAACCUUUAGGGAGCUUAUGCACAUCUGCCUGCUUUUUUUCUUAAAAAAGAAACCUGUUUAUAUCAGAGAUUUUCUUUUUACAGGACUUCAUUUUUUUCUGUGAUGCAGUAGCAUCUUGGAUUAGUCCAAAGGAUGACCUACGAGAUAUGUUCUACAAGAUCCUUCAUGGUUUUAAAAAUCAGAUUGGGGAUGAGAAUUGGACCCGUUUUUC